UACGGGGGGGGCAAGCGUUGUUCGGAAUUACUGGGCGUAAAGGGCGUGUAGGUGGCCAACUAAGUCCGACGUGAAAUCCCCAGGCUUAACCUGGGAACUGCGUCGGAUACUGGAUGGCUUGAAUUCGGGAGAGGGAUGCAGAAUUCCAGGUGUAGCGGUGAAAUGCGCAGAUAUCAGGAGGAACACCGGUGGCGAAGGCGGGUCUCUGGGCCGAUAUUGACGCUGAGGAGCGAAAGCGUGGGGAGCGAACAGG
rnacentral:rRNA from 1 species